UACGGAGGGGGCUAGCGUUGUUCGGAAUUACUGGGCGUAAAGGGCUCGUAGGCGGCCAACUAAGUCCGACGUGAAAUCCCCAGGCUCAACCUGGGAACUGCGUCGGAUACUGGAUGGCUUGAAUUCGGGAGAGGGAUGCAGAAUUCCAGGUGUAGCGGUGAAAUGCGUAGAUAUCUGGAGGAAUACCGGUGGCGAAGGCGGCAUCCUGGGCCUGAUCUGACACUGAGACACGAAAGCGUGGGGAUCAAACAGG
rnacentral:rRNA from 1 species